UUUUUUCCAUGUGUUUGCGGUAACUUAAUGCGGGUUUGUUAUCAGUGUAAUGGAUACAAUAAACCUUGUUUUGUGGAAUAAAAAAGUGAAUAUCGAUUGGUUAUGAUCAUCCUUGAUCUCAAUGAAAGGGAGUCAUUAUGGAAGACCUUGUUUAUGAGUUUAAUUAAUUAUGAUGAUGAUGAGUGUAAUCAUGGGCAUUAUCGAUUUUUUCACAGGCAAACGUGAUGUCUUAAACAAAUUUUUUAUUAAUUUAUUUUUUAUUGGACUAGUUAGCAUUGAGGUUUGUCUUCGAGGUUUCAUUUAAAUACGAAAAAAAUAUUUGAGAAAUUGUUCACUAAUUUUCUCUAUACUCAAUAACAUUGAAUAUAGACUUUGAAUAAUGAGCUUGUGUUAAAUUGAAUAUAAAUUCUGUUGCCACUUAUAUUAACUCUGAUUGAAUGGAAAACAAAAAAAAAAUAAAAAAUAAAAUAUUGGCGAAGUGCAAAACUAGGCAUUCCACUCUCGAGUGGAAAGUAACAGUAGUAUCCGACCACGAGUCAGCUUUUCACGUUUUCGCUGAGAGCUGGCGGAUUAUCUCAGCGUCUUGUCUCCCUCUAUCGAGAUAUUUUCCCUUCCUGUGUUGAAUCUUUAUUUUCUUGAUUGAAUGAUUUUUCAAAAAAUUCUCUAUGGCUUCAUUAUGCGGCAAACAGUCCAAAAAAAUUAUUUCAAUCAGUCAAGAUAGUUCGAGUUGCGAAAAAUAGUCGAAAAUGGGACGAGAGCAUUCAUGAAAAUAUCAAACGACGUAUAAAAGGUUGAAAAAUAAUUGUCGAAUGGAAGCAUUAAUAAUAGUGAAUGAGAUGCAUCUAAAGAUUGCGCCAUGUCCCAUCUAUUAUUACUCAACGAGCGCUUUAAUUAUAGAAUGAGGAAGGAAAUUACCUGCUAAGUGUGAAUAUCGACCCUGUUAGUUAAAUAAAAAAGACAUGCCGAAGGACGCUCGAGGCCUAUCAAUGCGUAAAUAUUAAUAUUUUUUAUUAUUCCACUGUCCCAUGAGUUACAUGAGCCAUUCCGAUGUCGUGGGUAACACACACAUGUUUACUGCAGUCCACACGCUCAUUCGGAUUACUUUCACUUGCUUCAAGAUUGUCUGACUAACUCGCCAACUGGACACUUUCUUCGCUCGAUCGAUAGCAAGAUGGAAAAAUGCUGUGUCUUUUGUGGGGAAAGUGGACCAUUAGAUCAAUGCUUCAUGCUGCACUGGAGCGGUUAGUUAUGGUCGAAGGCGACAACGACGCCGCACUAAGAAGUAAAAGAACGAUCGGCAUACUUCGCCAGCUCUUCCCUGGCAUCUCCCAGAUGAUUGAAAACAAAGUCAACAUGAUUGUGGGUGAGGUGAUCAAAGUACUGGGUCCGAUGUUACUGCGUGGUGCACUUGGUGGAGGUCGCCAAAAUGGGGGUGGAGGAGGUGGCGAAAGGGGCACAAGCAGUGACGACGGCUCAACAGUAACUGUCAAAUCGCCAUUCGACAAUGAUGACGAUGAUGAUGAUGAUGAGGGUAACGGUAAGAGUGGCGCAAUGGUAUCGAUAUCACUACCAACAUAUCCGUCCGAUGACGAUAAUGAGACAACUGUUACAACCUCCACAACGGCUAAACCUCAUAGGGAGGACAAUGAGGCAGCGCCUCCAGGACGUAAAUCCAGAAGCAGCGAAUCAAGUCGACCAAGAUGGGGAUCUAGCGGGUUCGGAGAACAACGAAGUGCGAGUCCAAUUCGACGAUCAAGGAACAUCGGCGAACGAAGCGGUACAAUCGGAACUAGCACCACUGGAGGAGAUCGAGGUGAGCGACGACGAGAACAGGAACAAGAGGUUUCUCAAUUUCGGUUUUGGCGGAAAUAGUGGAGGAACUGGGGGCAAUGCUGGGGGAUCAGGAAACUUUUUGUUCGAUAUUAUAAGGCUUGUCGCCGGCAGUGGCUCAGCAACACAAUCCUCGCAAUCGGCCACAGCAGUAGAUCCAAAUGCUGGGAGACAAGAUGUUGCACAAG